rnacentral:rRNA from 1 species
UACGUAGGGGGCGAGCGUUGUCCGGAAUCAUUGGGCGUAAAGCGCGUGUAGGCGGCUCGAUAAGUCCGGUGUGAAACCUUGGGGCUCAACCCCAAGCCUGCACUGGAUACUGUCGAGCUCGAGUCCGGGAGGGGAGAGCGGAAUUCCUAGUGUAGCGGUGAAAUGCGCAGAUAUCAGGAGGAACACCGGUGGCGAAGGCGGUUCUCUGGGCAUGUCCUGACGCUGAGGAGCGAAAGUGUGGGGAGCGAACAGG